UACGUAGGGGGCGAGCGUUAAUCGGAAUUACUGGGCGUAAAGCGCGCGUAGGCUGUUGUGUAAGUUGGGGGUGAAAUCCCACGGCUCAACCGUGGAACAGCCCUUGAUACUGCGCGACUUGAAUCCGGGAGAGGGUGGCGGAAUUCCAGGUGUAGGAGUGAAAUCCGUAGAUAUCUGGAGGAACAUCAGUGGCGAAGGCGGCCACCUGGACCGGUAUUGACGCUGAGGCGCGAAAGCGUGGGGAGCAAACAGG
rnacentral:rRNA from 1 species